UGUAAGCGUAUACCAAAGUUGUUGCAGUUAAAACGCUCGUAGUCGGACUUUGGCAGUUCCGGAUGUGUGCACGUCGUGUGCGCACUUCGCGGGGAUUGCUUUUGUGGUCUUGCGUAGGAUGAGGCACUUUUAUUAGUGAACGUCCUCACGCAACCACUUUUUACUGUGAGAAAAUCAGAGUGCUAAAAGCAGGCAUUUGCCGUGAAUGUAUUAGCAUGGAAUAAUAGAAUAGGACUUGGUUCUAUUUUGUUGGUUUGUUGGGACUGAGUAAUGAUUAAGAGGGACAGUUGGGGGCAUUUGUAUUUCGGUGCUAGAGGUGAAAUUCUUAGAUUACCGAAAGACAAACUGCUGCGAAAGCGUCUGCCAAGGAUGUUUUCAUUGA
rnacentral:rRNA from 1 species